UUAUUUCCGUACCUGCCCGUUUUAAUGUUGUAUAUUCCUAUUAUUGGUCUAAAAGCCAAUUUCCGCUUUAGAUAACCUAUGUAAUUUGAUACCGUAACCAUAUAUGGUAUUGUAAGCUUCGAUUGACCGCGUUAUUGGUUGGGGCAAAACUUCGUUGUUUCAUUGGGGCCGGAAAUGGAAAAAUUCAGCGUGUAUUACUUGCUAACCCGAAGAGAACGGUCGUGCGGUUCAUCCUGAUUUAAGUGCUAAUUUAGUUCCUGUUCAUUUGUUUUCAACAAUUUGGCGAAAGCAUCUUUAAAAACAAGUGAACCAUCAUUGUACCUGCCAUUUCUUUUUGGGCAUGGUAACCAUUUAUUCCGAAAGGAGUUCUUCUAAAGGAACGUAAGCAUAAUUGGGACCAUUCUGACAACGAUCGUAGGAUAACUUCCAUUCACUUUCGUACGUUCACGAAGCUCUUUUAUUUUCCGUUGACUCUCUCCAUGUAGAGGUUCGCAUUUAUUCUUGUGUAAAAACGUACCACCCAUUAGUUUAUUAUUUUAGAGUUCACGUAUUGGGGCCAAGAACUACGAUCAGACUGUUUACCUGUGAAACGAAACUAUAGACCACAUUGUGUUGCGGGUAAGGGGGCAUAGGAAAGUAAAU